AUACGUAGGGAGCAAGCGUUAUCCGGAUUUAUUGGGUGUAAAGGGUGCGUAGACGGGAAAAUAAGUUAGCUGUGAAAUCCCUCGGCUUAACUGAGGAACUGCAACUAAAACUGUUUUUCUUGAGUACUGGAGAGGAAAGUGGAAUUCCUAGUGUAGCGGUGAAAUGCGUAGAUAUCAGGAGGAACACCAGUGGCGAAGGCGACUUUCUGGACAGAAACUGACGUUGAGGCACGAAAGUGUGGGGAGCAAACAGGAUUAGAUACCCUGGUAGUCCACACUGUAAACGAUGGAUACUAGGUGUAGGCUGUGAUGAACGGUCUGUGCCGUCGCAAACGCAGUAAGUAUCCCACCUGGGGAGUACGGCCGCAAGGUUGAAACUCAAAGGAAUUGACGGGG
rnacentral:rRNA from 1 species